rnacentral:lncRNA from 1 species
UUCUAGCUUGAUUGGCAUGUAAACAUAGUCUGCGAGUUCGAUCAAGUUUUUGGAGAAGCUGUGUUUGGGUGCACUCGGCCUCCACUAAGAAUUGGGGAAUUAGUUAGCUACACCGGCUUGGACUUGUUGUGUUCUCCCUAAGAGUGCAGACUUUGAUCUAAGUUGAUCACAAGGUGAGUUGGAUUUGUUGGAGAAAUUCUGGGAAAUUUCCUUGUAGCUGAUUGCUGGUGUAUGUAUGAUAAUCAUAUCCUGUAGUGAAGGAUGGUAAUUUGAGUUGUUUCCGGUCUGCAAGCUUGAUGUUUAGUUGAUUGUUAAAGCCUUAAGUUUUGAAUUGGUUUGUUUUGAAUUUGUUGAAUGAAUCGAGAUCGUUUGUUAACGAAACAAAGGAAUUUGAGAUGAUUUUCUCCGUUGCCUAUGCAUAUGUCAAAGUGACAGGUAUUAUGGACAAUUUAUGUAAGGGUAUUAUGGACACUUUAAAAUUUGGUGAAGUUCUCUGA